rnacentral:rRNA from 1 species
ACCCUUAGUUUGCGACCAGGUUAUGCUGAGCACUCUAAGGGGACUGCCGGUGACAAACCGGAGGAAGGUGGGGAUGACGUCAAAUCAUCAUGCCCUUAUGACCUGGGCUACACACGUGCUACAAUGGGCGGUACAAAGGGUCGCGAACCCGCGAGGGGGAGCCAAUCCCAAAAAGCCGCUCUCAGUUCGGAUUGCAGGCUGCAACUCGCCUGCAUGAAGCCGGAAUCGCUAGUAAUCGCGGAUCAGCAUGCCGCGGUGAAUACGUUCCCGGGCCUU